GACGUAGGGCGCGAGCGUUGUCCGGAUUUAUUGGGCGUAAAGAGCUCGUAGGCGGCUUGUUGCGUCAGCUGUGAAAACCCGCAGCUCAACUGUGGGCUUGCAGCUGAUACGGGCAGACUAGAGGUAGGUAGGGGAGAAUGGAAUUCCUGGUGUAGCGGUGAAAUGCGCAGAUAUCAGGAGGAACACCGGUGGCGAAGGCGGUUCUCUGGGCCUUACCUGACACUGAGGAGCGAAAGCCAGGGGAGCAAACGGG
rnacentral:rRNA from 1 species